rnacentral:rRNA from 1 species
AUUGAACGCUGGCGGCAGGCCUAACACAUGCAAGUCGAACGGUAACAGGAAGAAGCUUGCUUCUUUGCUGACGAGUGGCGGACGGGUGAGUAAUGUCUGGGAAACUGCCUGAUGGAGGGGGAUAACUACUGGAAACGGUAGCUAAUACCGCAUAACGUCGCAAGACCAAAGAGGGGUACCUUCGGGCCUCUUGCCAUCGGAUGUGCCCAGAUGGGAUUAGCUAGUAGGUGGGGUAACGGCUCACCUAGGCGACGAUCCCUAGCUGGUCUGAGAGGAUGACCAGCCACACUGGAACUGAGACACGGUCCAGACUCCUACGGGAGGCAGCAGUGGGGAAUAUUACACAAUGGGCGCAAGCCUGAUGCAGCCAUGCCGCGUGUAUGAAGAAGGCCUUCGGGUUGUAAAGUACUUUCAGCGGGGAGGAAGGGAGUAAAGUUAAUACCUUUGCUCAUUGACGUUACCCGCAGAAGAAGCACCGGCUAACUCCGUG